UACGUAGGGUGCAAGCGUUAAUCGGAAUUACUGGGCGUAAAGCGUGCGCAGGCGGUUUUGUAAGUCUGAUGUGAAAUCCCCGGGCUUAACCUGGGAAUUGCGAUGAAGACUGCAAGGCUAGAAUCUGGCAGAGGGGGGUAGAAUUCCACGUGUAGCAGUGAAAUGCGUAGAGAUGUGGAGGAACACCGAUGGCGAAGGCAGCCCCCUGGGUCAAGAUUGACGCUCAUGCACGAAAGCGUGGGGAGCAAACAGG
rnacentral:rRNA from 1 species